GACAGAGGGUGCAAACGUUGUUCGGAUUUACUGGGCGUAAAGCGUGUGUAGGCGGCUUGGCAAGUUGGAUGUGAAAGCCCACGGCUCAACCGUGGAAGCGCACCCAAAACUGCUUCGCUCGAGUCUCGGAGAGGAAGGUGGAAUGCUUGGUGUAGAGGUGAAAUUCGUAGAUAUCAAGCAGAACACCUGCGGCGAAGGCGGCCUUCUGGACGAUGACUGACGCUGAGACGCGAAAGCGUGGGGAGCAAACAGG
rnacentral:rRNA from 1 species